ACGUAGGUGGCAAGCGUUGUCCGGAAUUAUUGGGCGUAAAGGGCGUGUAGGCGGCCAGAAAAGUCUGUCUUAAAAGUGCGGGGCUCAACCCCGUGAUGGGAUGGAAACUGUUGGGAUUGAGUGUCGGAGAGGAAAGCGGAAUUCCUGGUGUGGCGGUGUAAUGAGGAGAUAUGAGGAAGAACACCGGUGGCGAAGGCGGCUAUCUGGUUUGAUACUGACGCUGGAGCGCGAAAGUGAGGGGAGUGAACGG
rnacentral:rRNA from 1 species